rnacentral:rRNA from 1 species
AUACGGAGGGUCCAAGCGUUAUCCGGAAUCAUUGGGUUUAAAGGGUCCGCAGGCGGUCAAUUAAGUCAGAGGUGAAAGCCCAUCGCUCAACGAUGGAACUGCCUUUGAUACUGGUUGACUUGAGUUAUACGGAAGUAGAUAGAAUAAGUAGUGUAGCGGUGAAAUGCAUAGAUAUUACUUAGAAUACCGAUUGCGAAGGCAGUCUACUACGUAUAUACUGACGCUGAGGGACGAAAGCGAGGGGAGCGAACAGGAUUAGAAACCCGAGUAGUCC